UCGGUCCAACGCGGGGAGGCGCAGGAAUUUUCGGCAGCAGCGAUUUCACCCAGCCCGGAUCCCCGGCUAGAGGACGUGCCCGGAGCCGGCGGGUGUGUGCGGCCAAGUACGUGGAACGAGGACGCCGACUGGUGGGGCGAGCGGAUCUGUGAGAGAGCUGUCUGAAGGAUGUAACUACUCUGCUAUGGAAACCAGAUAAGACCAAGUGGUUGAAGUGACCUUGGAGCAUUCAGUAACAACCACCAUGGUUUUUCUAGAGAAAGGAGGUGUGGCAGUUAUAUCAAAAACAUUUUCAGUAGAACAUGAAUU